rnacentral:rRNA from 1 species
GACGAACGCUGGCGGCGUGCUUAACACAUGCAAGUCGAACGGAAAGGCCCUGCUUUUGUGGGGUGCUCGAGUGGCGAACGGGUGAGUAACACGUGAGUAACCUGCCCUUGACUUUGGGAUAACUUCGGGAAACUGGGGCUAAUACCGGAUAGGAGCUCCUGCUGCAUGGUGGGGGUUGGAAAGUUUCGGCGGUUGGGGAUGGACUCGCGGCUUAUCAGCUUGUUGGUGUGGUAGUGGCUUACCAAGGCUUUGACGGGUAGCCGGCCUGAGAGGGUGACCGGCCACAUUGGGACUGAGAUACGGCCCAGACUCCUACGGGAGGCAGCAGUGGGGAAUAUUGCACAAUGGGCGGAAGCCUGAUGCAGCAACGCCGCGUGCGGGAUGACGGCCUUCGGGUUGUAAACCGCUUUCGCCUGUGACGAAGCGUGAGUGACGGUAAUGGGUAAAGAAGCACCGGCUAACUACGUG